AUACGGAGGGGCCGAGCGUUAAUCGGAAUUACUGGGCGUAAAGCGCGCGUAGGUGGUUCAAUCAGUCAGAUGUGAAAGCCCCGGGCUCAACCUGGGAACUGCAACUGAAACUGCUGAGCUAGAGUACGGUCGAGGGCAGUGGAAUUUCCGGUGUAGCGGUGAAAUGCGUAGAGAUCGGAAGGAACACCAGUGGCGAAGGCGACUGCCUGGACGGAUACUGACACUGAGGUGCGAAAGCGUGGGUAGAAAACAGGUUUAGAUACCCUGGUAGUCCACGCCGUAAACGAUGUCAACUAGCCGUUGGGGGACUUGAUCCUUUAGUGGCGAAGCUAACGCGAUAAGUUGACCGCCUGGGGAGUACGGCCGCAAGGUUAAAACUCAAAUGAAUUGACGGGG
rnacentral:rRNA from 1 species